AUUGAACGCUGGCGGAAUGCUUUACACAUGCAAGUCGAACGGUAGAGGGGGCAACCCCUCGAGAGUGGCGAACGGGUGAGUAAUAUAUCGGAACGUGCCCAGUCGUGGGGGAUAACGUAGCGAAAGUUACGCUAAUACCGCAUACGAUCUAAGGAUGAAAGCGGGGGAUCGCAAGAACUCGCGCGAUUGGAGCGGCCGAUAGCAGAUUAGGGAGUCGGUGGGGUAAAGGCGUACCAAGCCAACGAUCUGUAGCUGGUCUGAGAGGACGACCAGCCACACUGGAACUGAGACACGGUCCAGACUCCUACGGGAGGCAGCAGUGGGGAAUUUUGGACAAUGGACGCAAGUCUGAUACAGCCAUUCCGCGUGCAGGAUGAAGGCCCUCGGGUUGUAAACUGCUUUUGUACGGAACGAAAAGGUCUCUCUUAAUACGGGGGGCUCAUGACGGUACCGUAAGAAUAAGCACCGGCUAACUACGUGCCAGCCGCCGCAGUAA
rnacentral:rRNA from 1 species